GCUGGAAGAUGACGCCGAGGACGCCAGUUACUCUUCGGAAAGCAGCUUCAGCAGCACUCCAGGAUCUUCAUGACAUUCAAUGAGUAGCAAAAUUUGAAGAUAACUUCUGGAAUUUCAUCUAAUGUGUACUCAUCUGGAUCUUAGGGGAAAUAACCUAUCAGGUUAUAGGGAAGGAGGACCUUUAAUAACCAAGCUAAAUGUGUGGGCUGUUUACCUCUCCCUCUUAUGCAAAGGUAUCCCUUGCACACACUGAAAACUGCAUAGACCAAAAGCAUUAUAGCUCUAGUUUGCCUUGAAGGAAGUUGUAUUGUCUGUAGAGCAUGUGGGCCAUUUUCUGCCAAUAAAAUGUUCAAAUGUUCUCUCUCUCCGAAGCUUUGUUCACUGUGUCUGGUGGAAUUUUGGUUCUCAGGGAGUAGAUGAUACCUAGCCAUGCUUCUAAUGUGAAGUGUCUACCAGCCCAUGGUCUCUAUUUUGGAUUUGAACUUACUUCGACCCCCUACCUGAUGCCUUACCAUUUAAUCAUAUUGUGAUUGAACAUUUUUG
rnacentral:lncRNA from 1 species